rnacentral:rRNA from 1 species
UGGGGAAUUUUGGACAAUGGGCGAAAGCCUGAUCCAGCAAUGCCGCGUGUGUGAAGAAGGCCUUCGGGUUGUAAAGCACUUUUGUCCGGAAAGAAAUGGCUCUGGUUAAUACCUGGGGUCGAUGACGGUACCGGAAGAAUAAGGACCGGCUAACUACGUGCCAGCAGCCGCGGUAAUACGUAGGGUCCAAGCGUUAAUCGGAAUUACUGGGCGUAAAGCGUGCGCAGGCGGUUGUGCAAGACCGAUGUGAAAUCCCCGAGCUUAACUUGGGAAUUGCGUUGGUGACUGCACGGCUAGAGUGUGUCAGAGGGGGGUAGAAUUCCACGUGUAGCAGUGAAAUGCGUAGAGAUGUGGAGGAAUACCGAUGGCGAAGGCAGCCCCCUGGGAUAACACUGACGCUCAUGCACGAAAGCGUGGGGAGCAAACAGGAUUAGAUACCCUGGUAGUCCACGCCCUAAACGAUGUCAACUAGUUGUUGGGGAUUCAUUUCCUUAGUAACGUAGCUAACGCGUGAAGUUGACCGCCUGGGGAGUACGGUCGCAAGAUUAAAAGCUCAAAGGAA